AUUUAAUUUCAUAUUCAUGCUACAUAUGACAAAAUUUUGCAUCAAGCUUUUUCACUUAGUGUGUUAUGCCGUGAGCAUCUUCAUCAAAUUUGCCCUGGGAGGGAGGAAUCUUCCAGCAGCAUCUGUGUGGAGAAUUGUUUUCUCCCUGGGGCCAUCAGGAAAAGCUUGCCCUUUGCUGUGAUUCCCUGGGCUGCAAUGCUUUUACUUAACUGGCUCAGUCCCAUUCAUAGCUGUCCCCUAAGGCCCCAGCUGUGGUAUCAGCAGGGGGUCUAGUGUCUCUCAUACUGUUUUUUUUUCCUCCCCAGGACCACUGUGGGAGGAGGUACUUUCUCUUUGUCAGAAGAACAGAAGCAAAUGGUCUGCUUAUAGCCUUUUAUGUGACGAUGUGCCCUUUCUGCCACUGCAAGGGAAAGAGUCAUCUUUGCUCCUCCAUUUUGGUUUAUCCUAAGAAAGACCAACACUAUGUCUAGCCCAGAGAGAGAAACACAUAAAAUAAAUACAAGUUAAAUCUUCAAUGGGACAUCAAGUUCCAUGUACAAGGCUAACCUAGACUAUAAAGUCCUUGAAAAUGUACACUUGAUAAGAGUAGGGGUCUUGCCUGCCUUAUCCACUGCAUAGCUCCAGUCAAGAGAAGUCAUUGCCACGGAAAAGGCACCCAACAAACAUGCCUUUAACUUGUUGAAUGAACCCAUCAAAUUCCUGAUAGUGGAAGUUUGGACACUGGAGUCGCAGGUGGGGAAAGAAACCAUGAUGCAAUAGGACCCCAAUUACACGUGGGUUCUGCUUAUGUUAGAAAAGCUUCCUGACUUUGUGUGCAGUCAAGUCCUGUGGCUUGUGGCCAAGGGAGGAUCUUUUCUUUUUUACCCAUGGAAGAUGACAUUGGUAUGUUGGAGUAAUGAUCCAGAAGAUAAACAUGAAUACAGACAAAUUCUGAAUUUGGAUUCAAAUAACAAGUUGCACAAAAACAAGGUAGGAGAGAUGUUUCUUGACAAUAAUUUGUAGAAAAACGUUACGUUUUGGCCGACUCAUUGUGAAUUAAUGGCAUGAAUAGCUGUUAAAAUUUUAUACUAGUAAUGGAAUAUCAUGUCUAAUAAUACAAAAAAAUCAACAUUCUAUGUGGCCACGAUUUAUGCUGCACUAACCAUGUACCAAGUACUGUGCUUAAUGCUUUUUUAUACGUGACUACAACUCCUGAAAACCACAUUAUUAUGUUCAUUUUAUGAAUGGAGAAACUUAGGUUCAAAGAGUUUAACUUGGCCAGGACACAGAGCUAGGACAUGAUGAAACCAAGUAUAUCUGACUGAAAAAGCUGUUGUUCUUCACCACUGAUUUUCUUGGUGCUCUAUGUGGGCCUGAACAUAUCUAGGACAUUUGGACUCAGUUGUAGAAGAUACAUUUUAAGACAGACAAUAACCAAACAGCGGCUUCAUAGGGAGGCUAUUAGCAUAUUAAAGAAUAUGGAAACCACAGCAUGUGGGGAAUGUUCAAAGAGAAGGGGGAUGUUUUGUGCAGAGGAGAGACAAUGGGAGGUGGAGGUCAAGAAUGAAAGGGUAUCAAAUGGAAGAGAGCAGACAUGUCCUGUGUGGCUCCAAAUGGCAGAACUGGAAUAGCAGAUGGAAGUUACAGUGAAGCAGAUUUCAGCUUGACACAAGAACUAACUUUCUAAAGAACAGAGAUGUGGGAUGAAGCUCUUGAACUCAUCCCCCUCCUCCCUCCAAGCCUGAACAGCCAUCUGUCAAAGAUGUUGGAUUUCAGGAAGGAGAACCUUCCACCUCUAAGAGUCUGAGAUUUUCUAGACGAGUUUAAAGUUUAUUUAAAAGAAAGGUAAAGACCAUUUGAGCUGAUUUAACAUGAAUCUUGUCUGGGGGCUGGGGGACUAUAUUAGAGUCUGAGUUCCUUUCAGCCUUUUGAGCAGGUAACUCUUCUAUUGGGGCCAUAACUGAGGCAUAUUUUAAAUCAGAAAGGGAGAAUAUCGUUUUUAUUCUGAAUCUGAAUACUCCUUAAAAAUAAUAAUUGUUGGAUGGUAUUUUUGUAUUUAAUUCAUUUCAGUCUUUCCUGUGUGUUUAUUUUGUGUUCAGCCCUGCAUAGGUGAUAAAUUUGUAACCAUACCCCCUCUCUAGCCCAUCCCUCUUUAAUACCACCCUAGGACAAGACCAUGAAUAGUCCUGCCUUUCAUGGCGCCUCCAAUUCCUCCUUUCCCUGAGGUACAUACAGGCAUUGUGCAUACAGAAGUUACCUGUGUUUGUAAUUCACAAACCCCAAAGAGCAGUGAAGAAAAAAGGAAUGAAUCCUACAUGAUUACAAAGAAGGAGGGGACAAAGCUGGCUCCAGGUACUCAGUUAUUUCUGAGUAUUGCUCUGUGCGUGGCACUGUGCUGUACAUUGAGGAUAUGAAGAUGAGUAAGUCUCAGUCUAUAUCUUUAGAGACCUCACAGCCUGGAAAGAGAGUUAAAAAAUAAUUACUAUUCAACAUGGCAAUGGUUAUAAAGGAGCAGAUUUUCCAAACUGGUGUUUCAAGGAACAUUCUUUGGCAGGAUGUUAAAAACAGGAAACAGCAAGCCUGAAAAAGGAAAUUGACGAAGAAACAAUUUGGUUAUUCUUGACUCAGUGGCCAAGGAGGGAACACAGGUAACCCUGAUUCUUGAAGCCUGAGUGCCCUGUUCCCCAGGCUUUUAUCUUCCAGUUCUCCCUGCAAGAUUAAACAUCCCCAAACACCAUUUUUGUGGUCUCUGCCCUGGUUCAAGGAGUUACAGUGGAUCUUCUUUAUUGUCAAAUCAACAGAAAACCUCUCAGUUAGACAUUCAGGACUAUCUAUUAUUAUCAUCAUUUUCUUCUGGGUGACGCUCUUCCUUCUCAUUCACUUUCCCCAACACAUAGGUGCCCUCUCUUUUUCUCUUUCUCUGACCAUGUUUCAGCAUGGAAUUAAGGCCACACGCACACACAAAAGAAAAAAAUUCGGGCUUUGGUGUUGCAGCUGUAGCUUUGAUCUUCUUUUUUAAAUUUUUUAUUUAUUUAAAACAUUUUUAAAGUUUUUCUUUAUUCUAAAAAAUGGGAUACAUGUGCAGAACAUGCAAGCUGGAGCUUUGCUCUUUCUUAUGCUGUUUGCCGUUUGCCUCACUGUGCAUCUUGCAGACCUUUAGCUUCUUCAUCUGCAUUCAUAGGUACUAAUAAUAAUAUUUAUCAAGUAAUAAUAAUAAUGGUUACACAGGAUUGUUGUUAUUUGAACUCAGCUGUCACAAUAUCUUCUCACUAUGGGCUAGGACAGACUCCUCCCUCUGGAACCUAAUUCUUCCAUCUUGCUUGCCCUCUGCUGAGGUCCUUUCUCUUUGGAGACAAGAGAAUCUUUCUGAUUCUCCCUUCUUCAUUUGGACUUCGUGGCCCUUACUUAGCUAUUUAGAGUUGGCCUUUAAAAUGGCAGACUUUAUUUCCCAUUUGCUCUACUUUUUGCUAUCAGAGGCCACCCAGCUUUCCUCCAUUCCCAGUUCUUGUGUCCAACCUAACACAGCCUGUGUGAGAGCCUUUGGCUCUUGCUUCUUUUGGAGGGAGAAUUGGAAAGUUAUUCUCUGAGGUCCAACCUUGGUAAGCAGAGACAAUGAAGAUCUAUUCCCAUCCCCUUGGCCAGUUUUUACUCAGUCAAGACCUCCUCUUUGUUGACUGCACAAGGAACUCCGGCAUUGGUGUCUGGUCUACCUCUGUAGCCUCAUGGUCUAGUGACUCUCACAUAUCACUGGACACACUCUGAAGCUAGCCAUGACUUCUAGAUCCUUGACUUACUAUGACCUCAGCUAAUUCAACAGGAAGAUGGAAGGGUUUCAUUCAGAACCUAGAAUCCAGCAUGUCCUAGCUCUUGCCAUAGCCCUCGCCACAUCCAUUGACAUUCUUAAAUAAGCUUCUGCAGGUCGUCUGUACACCCUUCCUCUUUUCUACUGUAGACGUCACAAGUUCACAGGUAAGGUGAGGUAUGGGUCACUUAUGUCCUUUUCCUGCUGUUGCUGUGGUUGAGGAAGCACUAGGGAAAGAGGUGCUUCUUCUGAUGCUCAGGGCGUCUGUCAAGACUGCUUGGAUGGCAAUGUGCGAUGGCAAUUUGCAAUGGUUCGGGCUAGCAUGGUGGGGUCAUAGCACCAUCCAAGGCUCUAGCAUAGACCUAGUAGUGGCUCUGUUAGGGUCUGAAUAUCCAAAAUUCAUAGGUUGAAAUCCUAAACCCCAAUGUGAUGGUAUUAAGAGGUGGGCGGUGAUUAGAUUAUGAAGGCAGAGCCCUUAUAGAUGGGAUGAGUGCCCUUAUAAAAGAGGCCCAAGAAAGCUCGUUCGUCACUUCCACUAUGUAAGGACAGAGUGAGAAGAUUCAAGCCAGGAGAAAACAGGCUAUCACCAAACACUAAAUCUGCAACUGUUUGAUAUUGGACUUCUCAGUCUCCAGAACUGUGUAAAUAACUUUUAUAAGUAACUCAGUUUAUGGUAUUUUGUUAUUAGCAGUGUGAAUAGACUAAGACACUCCUACCUAGAAAAUGCCUCUUUCCUUGUCACUAGCUGGAGAAGAAUGAUUCAGAAGAGUGCAUCCAAUUCUGGAACAGACUCAAGGAUGUUAUUGUGUAUCAACUGGUGAUUUCAAUGCUCUUUUCCUUGCUGCAAGAAAAAAAAUGCGUUGGAACUUGGGAAGUAUGUGUGUAAAGGAGGAAGGAGUGCUUUAUGUAUUUCUCCAGUAGAAUUUUGCUAAUAUAUCAUUAGUUACAUUGUUACAUGAUCACCUCUAAUAGCAAUGAAGGCCAGGAAAUGGUCUUUGAAACUGAAUGCAUUGCCUCCCUGAAUUAAAUUGGAUUUCUAUUUGUAGGAAGGAAAAGUGAUAGCAUUUUGUAGGCAACUACAGUGUUUAUCAUCUCCAGUGACACCAGUCAACUUACCUUACCUUCCAUUUCUCUGAGCUCCUUCUCUUGGAACAUUUCAUCCCAUAGCUACCUUUUCUCUGUGCUUUUUCUCGAUGUUGCCAGAACCCAGGUCAGGAUUUCGAUAGCACGCAGGCCACCUUAAAGGAGGUCAAAUGUGCCUCCUGGUGGUCUCAGGAUUGGUAUAAAAAGCAUUCUGACCAGUUCUUGGUCCCAGAAGCUGUCUAAGAGGGAAAAAAUGAUUAACUAUUCUUCUCAAUGAGAUGCUGGAAGACCAUUUGGAGCCUUGGAAUAGUGAUGAAUAGUUUAGCACCAUCCCCUUGGUGAUAAGUGAGCUUUGCUCAGUUAGUUCAUGGGAGAUCCCGUUGUUUGAAAGAGUCUGGGACCUGCCCCUUCUCUCUCUCUUGCUCCUGCUCCUGCCAUGUGAUGCACUUACUCCCCCUUUGCCUUCAUCCAUGACUAUAAGCUUCCAAAGGCCUCACCAGAAGCAGACGCUGGCACCAGACUUCCUGUACAGCCUACAGAACUGUGAGCCAACAGGGACCAUCAACCUAGUGGUGUUGCAACCUAGUCCACUCACAUCAUUUCUCAGGUCUUUCCUGUUCAGCUGACUCUGAGCCCCUGCUGUCCUAGGUUACAAGCUUCUUAUGAACAGAGCUAUGACUUAGACACCCUCAUGGGUACAAAAAAUAGGCGUACAUUAAGCAUGUCAUAGACUAAUUAAAUGGAAUCCAUAGCAACGUUUUGGGUUGCAGAAUUUUACCUCUUCAAGAAAGCAUUUACUAAUUAAGGAAAAGUUAGGAGACACAUCUUUCCUCUCUUCCUUUGCUAUGGUUUGGAUGUUGUUUGCCCCACCAAAACUCACGUUAAAAUUUGAUCCCCAGUGUGGCAGUGUAGGGAGGCAGGACUCCGUGGGAGGUGUUUGGGUCAUGGGGGUAGAUUACUUAUGAAUAGAAAUGUACUCCCUUGUGGGUGAGUGAGUUUUAGUUCUCAUGGGAAUGAAUUAAUUCCUGUGUUAGUCCAUUUUUGCAUUGCUGUAAAGGAAUACCUGAGGCUGGGUAAUUUAUAAAGAAAAGAGAUUUAAUUGGCUCAUGGUUCUGCAGGCUGUACAGGAAGCAUCUGCUUCUGGUGAGGCCUUAAGAAGCUUACGAUCAUGGCUGAAGGCAAAGGGGGAGCAGGGGCAUCAUAUGGUGGGUGCAGGAGCAAGAGAGACAGAAGAGAGAAGAGGGAGUUCUCAGACAUUUUUAAACAACCGGAUCUCCUGUGAGCUAACUGAGCAAGAACUCACUUAUCACUAAGGGGAUGGCGCUAAACUACUCAUGAGGUAUCUGGCCCCACGUUGCUAUCACCUCCACCAGGCCCCACCUUCAACUUUGGAAAUCUUAUUUCCAAAUGAGAUUUUGAGGGGACAAACAUCCAAACUGUAUCAGUUCCCAUAAGAGCAGGUUAUUAAAAGGAGUCUCACUUCCUUGAUUUUUCUCUGUUGCUUUUUCUCUUCCCAUGCAAUCUCUUUGCACAUGCUGGCUCCUCUUCCACUUUCCACCGUGAAUUCAAGCAGCAGGAGACUCUCACCAGAUGCAGUUACUUAAUCUUGUAAUUUUCAGCCAUCAGAAUCAUGAGCAAAAUAAACUUAUUUUCUUUAUAAAUUAUCCUGCCUCAUGCAUUCUGUUAGGGCAACACUAAACGGACUAAGAGACCCUCCUUCUAUCAUUUAAAUUUAUAAUACUCAUGACUUUCUUUCCAUUCAGCCCCAUUGCUUAUCAUAUAUUUUACUCUAUAUAGGGUUGUUGGUAAGGUCUUGCUAGGUGAGUUAGCUAAGUGGGCUGGCGCAGGAAUCAACUGAGGCCAUGAUUUGAGGUUCGGUUUCCUAAUGGACCAUUUAUCCAUGAUCUUGAAUGGUGAUAGGCUCUAGACCUUGGUCUUCUCAGUGGAGAAACCUGUUCUUGCUUCAGGUAAAAAGACUCCAAUAUGUGCUACAUAGGUAGGUCAGAAGCAUUGUUUUAAAUCAAGGAACCACAUUAUUUAUGUGUGCUUCUUGGGUGGUCUGAAUCAGGGACCCCAGGAUUAGCACAGUGCUAAAAAAAAAAGUAGACUGGCUGCAUCAUUCUGGAGGCCCACAUAUUUCUCUAUUAUGUAGCCACUGCCUAACUCCUUACACUUGAAACUCUAGUCACAGAACACCUUUUAACUUCAGAUGUAAAGGAUAUCUUAGUCUGGUCACUCUGUGACACUCUAACUUAGGGCUUCUCAUCAAAGUCUUGGCCCUGACCUCAGAGUUCCAGGAUCAAUGGCCUUAGGUAGGGCCUAGUUAUUGACAUUUUUACUUACCCUCCUUCCUCGGGUAAUACCAAUUGUGCAUCCUAGAGUGUAAAACCACCUCAAAACCCCAGUGAGAAACUGAACUGUAGACUCCCUUAACCCCAGUCACAAAUAAGCUCCCUGAAAUCAUUCAUAGUUAAUCCUGACUUCAACACACUGGCUUCUAAAUCUUAUCAAUCACUGAUAUGAUGUCAUACCAGACCCAACAUGCCAUCUACCCCACAUCACCACAGAGAAAAUCUAAAACUUCCUCUCCCUUUGGUCACAUGUUUGAAUUUUAGCUCUGGAAAUACAUAAUUCUGUAAUUGAUGGCAUAGACCAUCUUUAAUUCCAGAAAGAAUGACCUCCUACUUUGGCUACAGUUUCUUCUUAAUUCCAGCUUUGUACCAAUCUCUAAAGCUGGCCACAGACUGAUCUCAAGACCAGACCCAAGUUACCCCAUAAUCAUGAUCAUCCACUUUAUAUUUUGUCUGACCACUCCUGGAUUCUUUCUUUGGUCGUAGAUUGCUCCAUACUUGAUAAAUUAUAAAUUUAUAACCCUAGCCACAAAUGGAACCAGAGCUCCAGCCUCAGUUCAACCUCAAACUCUAGCCAUAAAUUAGCAACCCAGAAGGUCUUCACUCUUUGGCUAGCUAAAAAUCAGAAUUAUCAUCAAUUUUUAAAUGAAAAAUUUAAAUAUAUAUAGAUGUCAAGAAACUAGUAUAUUGAGCCCUAUGUGUGUAUUUCACAGCUCCAACAAUUACCAGUACAUUCUUUUUUCAUUCAUAACCUUACUGACUCCUUUUUCCUCCCUCUCCUUGAUUAUUCUGAAGGAAAUGCAGACAUCAUUAUAUCCUAACAUCUGUAUGUGUUUUGGUUUGUAUCUCUAAAAUGUAAGGGCUUUGCUGAAAAAGAUUGACAGGUUAAAACCAUGACAUAAUUGUUAUACCUAAAACUUAAAAAUUCCUUAUGCACAAGUAUCUAGCAAGUGAUUUUAUUUAUCCAAUUGUUUUAUAUGUAGAAAUUUUCAGUUUGUUUGAUCCAAAUAAGUUAUUUGUUAUUUGUUAAAUAAGUACAUUGUUUUUGGUUGAUAUGCCUGUGUCUUUUAAUUUAUAGGUUUCCUCUUUAUUACUAUUGUUAUUGCAUUUUUUGUUGCUGUUGUAGGAACUAUUAACUGCCAACUAUUAAGCUGUAAAUAUGGGGCCACAUUGACGCUUAGCUCUGGUCACUGAUGCACCAGCACAAACUGUCCCAGAGAAGGAAGGCUCUGAUCCCAAGGGGUGCAAGCCAGGGAGUGAGUGGCAUAUCCCUCAGUACAGCCACUAACCAUGAAACUCCAUAAAGCUUCUGCCCUCCAACUAGUGAGGAACAUCUGGCUGUCGUAUCAAACGAUGGCCAAAUCUUGCAUUUAUCAUGGUCAUUCUGUUCUCUCACUGCUAUUUCCUGACACAGAAUCAUGGCAGCAAAGAUGAAGCUAAACAGCCUGUGUAUACAUAUGGAAAAUUUAAAUUCACAUGCACAGGACAGGCUCAUGCUGUCCUUGCCCAUGCUUAGUCUGCCUAUGGCAAUAAAACUCUGAUUGACAAUCCAGAGCUACAGUUGCUAAGAUAAGCCACUAAGGUGGACCAUUAAGGUGGCAGUGUCAACAUUUGCAGGGGUUUAGAGAAGGGAAAGAAAUUGAGGCAUCACCCAGUGGGAGAGAGAAGUGUACAGAUAGCUUUCAUCAUGGAGAAAAAUAACCCUAAUAUCAAAAUGACCAGGUUUUUGUGAUGAGGACUUGACUGUUUCUACAAGCAGCUAGUUUGUAUUUGAGUGUUGAGAUUUUUGAAGCAUUUGGCAUGAUUAGCAUUGAGUGAAGUAGCAAAAAACAGCAUCUUCAGCAACUUUAUAUGGCCUUCAGAGAAUGAUGCUCAAACUUCUUGGCUGAUAUUCAAGUUUCUGCCCAUCAUAUCCUUGCCUAUUUUGACAGCCACAUCUCCUUCUCUUCUACUGGACUCUUCCCCAGCCAGACUGAGCUCCUCUCUGCUUCCCAAACAGGACAUGUACUUUUCUCUAUCUUUGCAUCAUCUGCUCAUAUUGUUCCCUACUCUUGGAAUGCCCUUCCCAAGCCCUCUAUGUGCAUGCGCCAUCCAGGAACUGGGAUGAUAACUCUUGGACGAAAUAGGAACUGUUGAGAAGCAGCAGGAAGUGGGUCACCUUAAACACAGAAGAAACCAAAGGAAAGAUUUGUUUAAAAUGAACUGGAACUUGAGGCUAGGAAGUUCCUGGAUACCUAGACAGCUGGAAGAGGAGCAUGAACCAGGAGGCCAGAAGAGACUUCACUCCAAUCUGGUGCCCUCACUAUGGCACAACUCAUCCAAAGAGAAAAGCUCCAUGAAAACAUGUUGAGCAAAAUUAUUCGUUCUCAUUUCUUAACGUAGCUUUCUGAUUUAAUAGUAAAAAAAUGCUUGUUUUGGUUUAAAUUUCUCUAGUUUUUAGAUACCAUUUUCUCUCCCAAACUAGGUCAUUUGAAUUAUCUGCUGAUAGUUCAAAUCUGUAGAUAAUUUGCUUUUACUCACAUUCCUAAGAACUAAUUACCUGUACAUAUAAAAUGAUGAAAUCUCAUUAUAUUUUCUUUUAAAACUCUGACAUGCAUUUAAUUACAUUAGUCAAUUAUUACUGUACAUGCUGAGGAUUUGCUAUUGACCAGCUCGUGCUGGAAUAUUUACUGCACAGAUGUGUUACUUUAAUUAAACAAAUGUGAUUACACACAUAUCAAUUUUUAUUUGGUUUCAAAGCCCAGAAUCUAAAAGUGACGCAGUUGGCAGAGCUGUGUGGUGCGGUGCUGGUUCCCAGGAACACAGCAAGAGGCACUUUACUGAGGGAACGCUGCGUGCCUGCAACUCUGCGUGGGAGACUUCAGCCACAAGUGGGUUUUUGUCUGUGUGUAAGUGCCAUUGAGUGAACCCAAGAAGGGAACAAACAAACCAGCCCUGAAUCUUUCUAGCACAUGUUCAGCUUUGCUCUCUUAUAUAUAGGAAAUGAGGGACAGUGCUUGGAGAACCUGCAGGAAAACUAAUCUAAAAGCCAGUCCAUUUGAGAGUGGGAGUUGCUUGGAACUGGUGCUUGGUUAAAUAGGCCAGCUGGUAUUUCUCUUUAAAAUCAGGGAUGAAGUUGGAUGACAUUAGAACAUUGAACUUGGUCUCUUGGGCUUUUCCUGCCAUAUCCUACAGCAACUCCCUAAGCCAUGAGGUUGGCAUCAAGAAAGGAGACCAUCUCUCAGUGCCUUGUCUGAAGCAAGCAGUCCUGAGGAACAAUAUGAAGACUGAGAUGGAAAAUCUAAAUGUGCUUUACAAACUAGAGAAAUGUAAAAUUCUCUAUAACUCUUGAUAAAAUGAUUCCACAUACCAGGCACAGAGUAAAUAGUCUUGGUUAUUAAUAAAGGCAGUAAGUCAACUCAUUAAUCAACAAACACUGAGCACUGUAUGAACUGAUUUCUGGUG
rnacentral:lncRNA from 10 species